GCCCCCUCCUGCCUCUCCCCCUGGCUUCCCGAGGGCUGGCCUUUCCAGCCUCAGUUUCCUUGUCGGCACAGUGGGGACGCCGAGGGCAGGCCUGUCCCUAUCGGAGCUCAGCAGACAGAAACCCAGAAGGGAGGUUGGCAGUGGCCCUGUCGGGAGGCCCCCCACCCAGCGCUACCCCCCCAUCCCAGCCCAUGGAGAGCAGGCGGGGGGCCAGGUGGCCAGGUGGGUGCGCAUCUCUGGGAAUCAGGGUGGGCUGGGGUGCCCUGUGGGGCUGGGCCCAGGGGCCGCGGCCCAGGGUGCAGGAGGAGGCGGUCAUUGUGGUUUUCCGUGUUUGUUCUCCGCUUGGCGACACGGUGGCAGCACUCAUGCAGAAAAGAGCUGGCUUCCGAGGGCCGCAGCCGCCCCACACACCGCCCCCUGCCCCCUGCCGCCUGCCCCCAGGCCUCCCCGGAAGCUCCCUCUCCCAGCCCCCAACCCUGUGCCCCCCUCCCUGACCCUGGCAAGCCCCCCUCGCGUCGCCAUCGCUGGUUUGUGCAGGAGCUCCCCCGAGGGUGCCCAAGUGAACCCCAGGCGGUGCCCAGGUCUCCACGGAGGAGGACCGGGCUCUGGGCCAGCAGCCCUGGCGAAGUCCUGGGAUGCACUUCCUGCUGAGGCCCCUGCCGGCCCUGGGCUCCCAGGGGCGGAGCUGUCAGCCGGGCACCCCCAGGCUCCAGCCAGGCCCUGGAACUUUGCAGUGCCUGCGUGCCCUGGCUGAGGGGGUGGACGUGGGAAUGUGGGCACAGCCUGGCCUGUGGGGACCGUGUGUUCCUGCAUGUGCUCACCCCUCGGCUUGUGUGUUCGUGGGUUUGGUAUGUUCUCGUCGUGUGGCUGGUGGGUGUCAAGGUCACGAGUGUGUGCCGCGUGGCUUUGCGUGUGUGGGUCUGCGUGUCCCUGCGGAGGGCGGACCCUCGCAUCGGCCAGCGGCAGCCUAGCUGCCCUGCUCCCCUCCCCUCCCCUCCCCAGCCAGCUCUGAGCCCUGACUCUGCUCCUUGAGAGCUGGAGCACCUGGGGCCAGUUACCCAACCUCUCUGAGCCAGGGUCUUGGCCGCAAAUUUGGCUUCACCUGCUGGGCCAGGGUCCCCCCCCCCCCAGGUGUUCAUGGUGCUGGCCAGCGGAUGGGCCAGGACACAAGCUCUGGGUUUCCUCAAGGUCAGCUCACUGCCACCCCACAACCCAGGGUCUGAGGUGCUCCCAGCACCACGUUCAGUCGGAACUCGACUGGGGUUGAAGUCACCAGUUCUGUCCCCUGUCUGGAUUGUCUUCUUUCACGUAGUGAAAGGCACUUACGUGUCCAUGAUGUCUUUUCACGGCCGGGAAGCUCACUCCUUUCCAGUGCUGUUCCUCUGACGGUCGUUCGGCUCUCCCGCUCUGGAGGGACCGCAGUGCAUUUAUGCAUCCCCCACUGAAGGGCAUCCUGGUUGCUUCCAAGUGUUGGCAGCUGUGACGACAGCGGCUCGAAGCACCCGCGUGUGGGUCCUGCAUGGACAUAGUUUUCAGUACCUUUGGGUAAAUAUGAAGGAGCGUGAUGGACGGACUGGAUGAGAAGAAUAAAGCUGAUUUUUAAGAAGC